UUCUAUUUACUUUGCCCUUUUUUACCAUUUACGCUUUAAGUCGUCGAAACUUAUGAUUUCUAUGGGAGAACUUUGAAAAUACGUAUCGUUGGAGGAUUCGAUGGAAAUAAUUUGUUUGGCUACUUCUGAACGAUGCGAUAGAUCUUAUAACUCUAAUGUUGGCUAUUUUUGUCUAUGUCAGUUACUUUGGUGCACCGAAAACUAAUUGAAAUUUUAGAUUUGGAUAAAGUCGUUGGUGAGAAAUACGAAAUUUAGUACGAUACGUCCUGAUGUUUUUAUGCCAUACCGUACGAUUAAAUUAAAAAUAGUGCUGUAAUAAUAUAAGCCAGUAAUAAGUUUCUUCCAAUUUGUUUUAUUUUUUUCUUUGGUAUCGUUAAUGCGCUAUAUCGUUCGUCUAUUGAAUCAUUUUAGUAAUUCGGGACCAUUUGAUCGAGUUAAAUUUAGCAUGCAAAUUUUUUAAAUAAUUUCCGCACCAAAAUAGACAUUUUAAUUUUAUGCUUUGCAAGUGUGUAAGUGAAUAAACGCGUCGCAAGUUAUUUAUAAAGUAAAGUGUGUUUCCACAUUUUCAACGCGAGAUUCGAUCUUCUCGGUUCUUUUAUGCCAAAAGCAAUGUGACAACUUUUAUACCAGAUUAAUCGACUACUUAAAGAUGCUAAUUCUCAUUUAUUUCAUAACGCUUUGUAACUUUGUUCGCAAUUAUUAAAUCUCUUUAUUCGUAUGAGUCAUCGAAGGCCACACGCGUAUAUCUUUAUAAUUUUAUACUAUAAAAACAUUUCAAAACAUUUCCAUAGUAAUUUAAUAGAAAAACACGGUAUAUUUCCGAUAAAUUUUUUCUUAUCCAUAUACAACCAUUGCUGUAUGUAUUGCCCCUUUCAAUUUAUCAAAUUACCGCAACACAACAAAUCAAAUCGUAUAGUUAGAUUUCAUAUAGUUCGAUAUUUGAUAAUGUUAGUUUGCUAAUAUCGUAAAUUAGCUAAUAUCGUAAUGAAAGUAAAUUAGUGCGCGAGGCGGUGCUGAUAUGAAUCUAGUACGGGGCGACAAGACGUAUAGACCCGGCACUAUAACGUUCUUACCCCUUACCCCGAGAUAGCCAGCUCGCGACCGGAGCACCGACCAUGGAAAGAGACCGAAGGUACGCCGAACGAGGACAGACGCAGAGGAAGAGAAUGGGAUAACCUGUGUGUAUAUACGGGUAUACAGAGUGUACCGAAGGUAACUUCGAUUACAAUGGUAUCAACGAUUUUACCGGCAUUAAAACAGAGAAAAAUCCUGUCGAUUAAGCUGCGCGUUAUCAACAACCCUUUCUUCUGUCGUUUUAAAUCCGCAAUAUCCGAUAACGAAGUGUUUCAACGAUUUUCCUAACAUCUCCAAUUGCGAGUAACAAAUUAGCGCAAGGUCGUGACUAAUUCGAACGUUGAACGAACUCUUUUUCCGAUUCUCUAUAUAUCGGAUUUAUACGUAUUUUAUUGUCAAUUUCACACGAUUCCAACUUGUCCAAUAUUCGGAUAUUUUUGAUGCGCAACAUGGAUACACGGAAAGGAAAGAAAAGAGAACGAAAGAAAAAAAAAAGGAGAAAAAGGAGAGCGUUGGUAUUUUCUGAACGAGAGAUUUACCCGUGUCCCCGACGAGGAACUAGUUUUCGAUAAACGAGCACCUCCUCGUUAAGUGGCUCCACGAAGGGGGCCGAAAUCGUACUCACCCUAUAUCCCCGAAGCGUUCGCGGGAUAGAGAGGCCCUGAGAGGUCAAAGUGGAAGAGAGAGGAUCGUGCACCAAGUGAGAAGCGGUGGAACAGAGAGAGAGAAAUAUUUUUAUUAAAAGGAGGGAGGCGACUCAAUGGAGGGAUAAAGACAGAUUCGCGGCGCAGUACACCGUGUCGGAUGCUGAUGCUGCAUUAAGCCCCGUUUGCACUUCCGCCCUUCCAUUCGCAAGCUUCGAUCCUUUCAUACGCUCCCUUCGCGCCGCUGCCGCCAAUUGUUUUCGAUGAUUUUUAUUUUAUAUGAUAUUCCUGACAAUUCUACUGAAAAUAAUCCAACAUCGCGGGCGAGAUGCUUGCUUUGUUGAUUUUUUUCAUUUCAAAGCAGUUCGGUUCAGCAAUUCCGAAUAAAACACUGUUGGGGACACUUUGAUAAUAUCAACCUGAUUCGAUGAACGUCAAUUAUAUGAGAAAAGAACAGAUAAAAUCGAGUAUAUGUUUAAAUCGGAGUAAAAUGUAAUUUCAAAUGUCAUCGUGGUUUUAACGACGUUCGUAGGAAAUUCUACAGUUAGGUUAAAAUAACAAUGAAUACGAUAGCGGUAAUUAUAUCGUUUCAGACAAUAUUUCAUUUAGAAGUAACAUAGUUACGAAACUGAAAAUAAAUUGUUUUCUAUCUACAACAACGAACUAAAUGUUAGAAUAUAACAUUUUUUCCUGAAUUUUUGAUGAAAGCUUAAUUGACGAUAUUCCGUGUAUUUUAUACUUCUAUGUUUCAAACAGGAUACACAACGAAUUUCACAAUGCCAGGUAUCAUUGUGUUGAAGAACCAUCGACAAACAAUGUUACGAAGAGGGGUCUGCGUGUCUAAGGACGUAAUCAUAAAAGAAAUUCUUUCAAAUGAAAGCACUAUUGACUCGACAGUGUUGCAUCACGAUGAACGAUGACCCGACGAUUUACAAUUUCGGCAAACACGAGGUAUACCAGCAAGGUCACGUGAUGGACUUCGUCCAGGACGAGACGAGGGAGCAUACAUAGAAGGGAGACGUCACUGACCGUGAACGCACGCGAGACUCGCGACAAUUUUGUCCGCGACUUAGCAGGAACUCCGUACAUCGGCAGAUAAAGCGGAAGAAUGCGGCCUCGAUGAACUUUGUUUCGUGAAAAACGCGCCUUCGGUCGAUUUCCUAAUCGACCCUUUCUACUCGACGAUGGCUAAAUCGAUUGAUCAGUAGAAUAUGUAGAUCUGUUAUAUACGUUAAAAUACUCGAUCGACGUUUAAAUACUCUGUUACGAAUAUCAUUUUUCUGACAGAUCGUUUGUCUGAAAAUAUUUAUAAACGUUCGCCAACAGACUGUAUUUUUGUUCGAAAAAAAGAAAAAAUCAAUGUGUCUACCCUCGAGCAUGAUUACUGUUGGUAACAACUGCAUCACAUGAAUGGCUUCCGGCCAGGUAAUCCGAGGGAGUGUUCAUUUAACGAAAUGUCAAGGAAGUGGAUUUUAAUCAGUGAAUAACUUGGGACGGCAAUGAUUAAGUCUUUUCCUUGAUUUUUUUAUGUAUAAAGUUUAACGGAGUUCUGUUAAAAAAUUAGAAUGCAAUAAUUUCAUGAAUGAUUUAAUUUGUUUCAAUGUAGAAAACAAUUUAGUCUGAUGAUAAAUAUAAUUAUAUACAUAUAAAUCAAACUUUUCUAUGAAUGAAUAAAUGUUACAUGACAUGUUUA